rnacentral:rRNA from 1 species
ACGUAGGGUGCGAGCGUUAAUCGGAAUUACUGGGCGUAAAGCGUGCGCAGGCGGGCUUUUAAGCCAGACGUGAAAUCUCCGGGCUUAACUCGGAAAGGUCAACUGAUACUGUGCGACUAGAGUGCGGAAGGGGCAACUGGAAUUCUCGGCGUAGCGGUGAAAUGCGUAGAUAUCGAGAGGAACACCUGCGGCGAAGGCGGGUUGCUGGGCCGACACUGACGCUGAUGCGCGAAAGCCAGGGGAGCGAACGGGA